UUACGUUGUUAUCCCUAAGGUAAUUUAAUCUUAUAAUCAAAAUAAAUGGAUCAAAAAUAUAUACAUAAAUAUAUAAAAACAAAGAGGAGUUAAAUAAUAUUCCUCCCAUCACCCCAACAAAACAAUUCACUCCCACUCAAUGUAAAUAAAUACAAACAACAAAUAAAUGGGAAAAUUGUCAAACUCUAUAGGGUCUUCUCGUCCCAUAAAAACAUUUAAGAAUUUUAACUCAAAAACCAAAUUCAAUAAACCAAUACCUCUAAGACAGCUUAUGUCUCGUCAAGCCAUUCAUACCAAAUCACAAUUAAAGAACUAAUGAUUAUGCUACCUUUGCACGGUCAAAAUACCGCGGCCCUUCAACUCUAAGUCAGUGGGCAGGCCAUACUUCAAAAACUAACAAGAAAAGAUGUUUUUGAUAAACAGGCG
rnacentral:rRNA from 1 species